rnacentral:misc_RNA from 1 species
UUGGCAUGAUAAACAACAAAAAAAUAUUUUAUUCCUAAUUUUGAGCACAUGCUCCGCUCUCUCCUCUGCAGCUCUAGUCUUCUCCUUAGCUGUACCCAGAAAAGAUCCAAAUCUAAACGGCGAGAAAGAGAAACAGAGAGACAUUCUUCUUAGACUGAUCUCCCUGUUUCUUUAUCUCUCUCUAUCUCGAUUGUCAACAAUGGCCGAUGAACCUUCCCUCACUCGGUGGUCUUUUCAGGAUUUUAAAAUAUUUUAUGAUGCCAAGUUUGGGAGAAAGAAGAUACCGGAGAAGCAAAACGGCGAAUCGGCUGCUGAUAAAUCAGUGCCAAACGGGAGUUCUUCGUCGAGCGCUUCAUCAAAUGGAAAUGGUCAUGUCAAGAACACAUCGGAUAUGGCCAUUUAUGAGCAGUACAGAAACCAAGAUAGGAGCACAAACCACUCGAAUGGAGUUUUAUCUGACGGGAUUGAUGCAAAACCGCAGAAGUCUUUGCUUCCUGCUUUUGAUUCUGCUGAAACUCGCGCUUUAGCUGAGGGUUUAUGCAGGGAUAUUGUUCGUGGGAACCCUGAUGUCAAAUGGGAAAGCAUUAAAGGGUUAGAGAAUGCCAAACGUUUACUGAAAGAAGCAGUUGUCAUGCCAAUAAAAUAUCCCAAGUACGUCUUGUUUGCCAUAUCUACACUUCCAAUUAUGAUUAGUUUUGCUGAUGUUGGUAGAUUUGGAGAUAAUUACUAAUCUUAGUUGACAAGAAAAAUUAGAUGCUGACAUAACAAGGGUAGGUCACAUCUUUGAGAAUGAAGAAUGGGGCAUUCACAUUAGCAAAAUAAAGUUACCAUGUUACCCUCCUCCGGACGUCUCAUCACAAAGUAAGUUGCGUGCUCUAAUUAUUGGAUUAGUGUUUACAAGAAGGGCAUUGGAACUUAAUAUAGCAAGCCUCAUGGUAUGCAUGGAUGUGAAUAGUUUGGCUACUUUCUUGCCAUGCUGAACCAGGCAAAUAAUUUUGUAGGUUCCUUAGUACAACAGGAAACAGACCAUUCUAAUGUUGCCUUCACUUGUCAAAGCUUGAGGCUCUUUUUUUGUUUUUUUACUGAAUAAGGUUUUCUUCAUUCCCUUCCUUUUGUGGAAGAAAUAAAGAAGUUGUGGAGGCCUGAGCUAUUGUAAGCUGGUUGUCACAAAACGUAGAUGGCAAGUGCAUGCAGUAGUGAACUUUAAACUUCUGCUUAGCUUGGUUUGUAAAUAUAAUGUUGGGAUUCUCCAGUCUGCCUUAAAUGUUCUCUGCAUUUGAUCUAAUUUGGCUAUUAGCUAUUGUGUCAUUGCAUGGAAAGUUAGUGUCUGUUAAUAUUAUGUCAUAUGGUUAAUUAUAAUCUUGAAUAAUAAUAUGAAAUAUCCUUCAAGGAGAAAUUUGAAGUUAAUUUUUUACAGUGAAGCUGACAUUUCCCAUUUCUAGGUACUUUACUGGCCUUCUAUCACCAUGGAAAGGCAUUCUUCUUUUUGGCCCUCCCGGGACAGGAAAGGUGUAUGAACUUGGUAUUUCUAACUUUCAAUUAUUUCUUUUCCUCAUGUUUUGUUUACGUGCUGGUAUAUUUCCCUAAAUAGAACUGUUAUUCAUUUAAGUUUUUCCUUUGUUCUAUUUGUAACUAGCCUCAUCAAAACAUUUUUUUUUAACCUUUAUGUCCAUUUGUGACCUGGAGGUCAUGGGUUCAAGCCAUGGAAACAGUCUCUCUGCAAAGUAAGGGUAAGGCUGCGUGCAUCAAGUCAUCAACCCUCCCUCGAGACCACAAGUGUGGGAUGCUUCAUGCACUAGGUCACCCGUUUUUGUCCAUGUGUGUGAUUUUUUUUUUCUUUUUGGUCUGUGGGGAGGUAAUAUAUUUGAGUAUGCUUAUGGAGUACUAAACUUCCUUUUGAUCCUUGAGUUUGAUUGCUUGCUUAAAAUUUUUUCUCAACAUUCACAGUUGAUAUGAACUGUAAUGAUUUUUAUGUGACAAACAGAUUUAUCACUCAUCUUUUUGUAACAACUUGAACAUUUUGGCUAAACCAUUUCCAUUGCUGUCUUUGCCUUGGGGAGUUGCUGUGCUACUCUUGACACUUGAAGUUAGCAUUUUUUUCGUUUGUGCCUUUUUAUAAUCUUACCUGGUCUCUCGCAGUAUUUCAAGAAAUGUUUGUUAAUUAUGGCAUCCAAAAUAAUCUAGAGAAAGAGAACAUUGGGUGAUUGUUAUUUUUAUUUGAAGAAAGCUUAAAAGAGAACAGGAUGUAAAGUCUCAUGGGCUAGGGGCAAAGUCAUCCAAGAGGUUCUCUAUGUGAUGAACAUCUUGGACUUUCCAUCAUCAUACUUCCUAUGACAUAAUUCCACAGCCAUGAAUGACUCUGGAAUUACAAGCUGUUUUAUGUAUGGUGCUUUAUUUCCAGUUUUCCACUCAUAAUGGCGCAUUAGUUCACUUUUCUUUCUGGUGCUAUCAUGAUUGUUGUGUAACUUGCUAUUUUGAUUAUUCAGACAAUGCUUGCAAAGGCUAUUGCUACAGAGUGCAAAACCACAUUUUUUAAUAUCUCAGCAUCUUCUGUUGUUAGCAAGUGGCGUGGUAUGUUAUCAUCUGGCAACUUUUAGUAUGACAUUGUUGGCAUGCGUUCUACUUUCUUUUGAAACUGUGCAUUUUUGAAGUUCUGGUUCAUCUAGUAUCAAACCCCAAAAAUAUUGCAUGACCCAUCAAGGACACUAUGGUUACUGCCUUAUGUUUUUGGAGGAACUGACGAAGUGGUUCCAGAUUUUGGGUGAACUUAUUGCAUAUGUGAGCUGUUGCUGUUUUUGCUAUUAUGAUGGUAAUAGAUAAGCUUGAAUGGUGGUGUCUAUCUUUUACUCGGAUAAUUUUAUUUUUCAUUGAUAACAUAGGUUUGUUCAAUGCAUAUAUACAUCAAACUUGAAAAACUUCUUUAUUUUGGGACAUGACCUUUUCUGGCCCUUUUGAUAAGAUGAUUUACUGUUAAUACAUUAUCUGAAGUGAAUCUAAUAUCGUUAUGCAAACAUUGCAGGUGAUUCUGAGAAGUUAAUAAAGGUGUUAUUUGAGCUUGCUAGGCAUCAUGCACCAUCAACUAUUUUUAUUGAUGAAAUUGAUGCAAUUAUUAGUCACCGGGGUGAAGGUCGUAGUGAGCAUGAAGCAAGUAGGCGUUUGAAGACUGAGCUACUCAUACAGAUUGCAGAUGGAUGGUUUGACACGGACAGAAGAUCUUGUUUUCGUUUUGGCGGCAACAAAUCUCCCCUGGGAGUUGGAUGGAGCCAUGCUCCGGCGUCUGGAGAAGCGAGUAUCCUUUGAUAUUUUCUGCUGAGCUUUACAAAAAUACAAAAUAGUGAAAUGGAUUAGAAAGGAAAAAGGAAAAUAAAAGUGGGGGUUCAUUGUAGCCUGGAUUUCUGACUUGCCUGACCUUUUGCCUCUUGUUGUUCCUUUUUGUUGGUCAUCCACUUCACGUUAUUUGCCUAAUGGCACUGUAUUACUAAUUCAGUGAGCAAGUUCUGGUGGCUUAUUAGUCAGAUGGUUCUCCUUUGACUAUAAAAAUUUAAGAUACUUGUACCUCUUCCUGAAUCAGAGGCAAGAAGGGCCAUGUUUGAGGAACUCCUGCCAUCACAACCUGAUGAGAUUGAGCUCCCUUACAAUUUAUUGGUGGAAAGGACAGAAGGUUAUUCAGGUUCAGAUAUUCGAUUACUGUGCAAAGAAGCUGCCAUGCAGCCACUAAGACGGCUGAUGGCACUCCUUGAAGACAGAGAGGAAAUAGUGCCCGAGGAUGGUAAGUGAUUUCCAGAUUGCAUCUAUUAAUUCUUAGUGAAAUCAUGAAAAGUGCAUCAAAUAAAUGGAGAACAGGUUACAUAAUUGUGACAACUUUCUACUCCAUGGGGAUAUCUGUGACUAAGAUAAAAAA